CCUCGGCGGAGCCUAAGAAAACCUUUUAUUUGGUGCCGAAACCCGGGAGGAGUUGUUUUCUGCUGAAGACCACUCCUCUCCCUACUCCCUGAGGAGACCUCACAGCCACCCCACCAGUCCAGACAAAGAAGCAAGAAUCCCCCAUGGGGUCUACCACAGUCCUGGAGCAGAGGAGGCAUUCAAGAAGGGAAUAAAAAAGAAAUAAAUAAAAGCCAAUCUUUUGCCAGCUUGCCAAAGGGCAUUUUUUCCUUAAGCAAGAUUUAUGAAUCGACCCUCGGCCCCAGCACAUAUAUGUGGAACAGCAAGACUCACUUGGGCUUUCAUUUGCAAGGGGAGAAGAGUGCCAACAGCCCUGCACUGGCAGAGGAACAGUGGCAAAAAUAAAUGAGAAUUGAGAAGGUGCUGAUGAUGGAUGGGAAGAGAACACAACCAUUUACCUGAUCAUGGCAUAUUGGCCAUGGCAGGCAGCCUGGCAGGAGGAGAUGGGCCUUUGGACAUUAAUUUUCCAUUACCUCUUGGAGGCAGACCCCGUCUGGAACAAUGAAUGGAAGGAUGAAAGAGCUUUUGCUGUGAACUCAGGAAAAAGGCAACUUGAGCUUGGAACUUGCUCAAAUCCAUAGCAAAGCAGAGAGAAGCCCAACAACAGCAACUUCCAACACGAA